rnacentral:rRNA from 1 species
UACGUAGGGACCAAGCGUUUGUCCGGAAUCAUUGGGCGUAAAGAGCGUGUAGGCGGCUUGUUAAGUCUUGCGUGAAAAUCUCGGGGCUCAACCCCGAGCGGUCGUGAGAAACUGGCAGGCUAGAGUGCGGGAGAGGAGAGUGGAAUUCCUGGUGUAGCGGUGAAAUGCGCAGAGUAUCAGGAAGAACACCCGUGGCGAAGGGCGGCUCUCUGGAACGCAACUGACGCUGAGACGCGAAAGCGUGGGGAGCAAACAGG